CAGAGAGAAUCUUAUUCUCACUCUGCUCACGUUUGUGUUAAAUCAAAAGAUGAGGCAACAGCUUUUGUUCAUUUCAGGUUGUGUUUGAGUAACGGCAAGACCUGGGGCUACUCAGCAGAAUGUAAAAAGUGCCUCCAUAAAGAAGUGUAUCUGAGAGCGACUGCGUGUGAUUCCACAGCACAGUUGAUGAUGACACCACCAUCCCUCUUGGUGACAGAUGCACUGUUGCAUCCUCCCGACUCUCUGGCCCACUCUGGUUAUGAAUGUUGCUGGCAUACCAUAGAAAUACUGGGUGUGCUGACCUUGGCUGAAGUAGAAUGCAGGUUUUCUAAUAUUCCCCACUCUUAGAGAGGCGAAUACCAGCUGGGGAUACAGGCAGCAAAGACACAUCCACACAAAGAGCUGUUUAACUGUCCAGAGGCCCUCUGGGUACUCCACCUUUCACUUUAUCCCUUUAAUAUUUCAUGUCCUGGCCCCAGCCGUGCUCUGGCCAAAUGCCUCUGCCUGGGUUACUGGAAUAUGGAUGAGAGUGCACACUUACCCAUUUACCUGGAUGUCAGUGGGAAGUGGUUCUAAACAAUACACCUUGCCUCCUCACAACUUCACCUCUGCUCACCUCACUGGGCCCAGAGCUAGCUUGUUAGAAAGAGGAGCAGGUAACAAAGGGGGUCAGAAAUAGACAGAAAAAUCCUACAAAGAGGAGUCUUGGGAUAACAAAUGCACAAUGCCAAGUAGAGACGAUGGAGGACGAUUGUGCUUCUGUUAGAAUUGACGGCUUUGUGUGAAAUAAACAUGCAAGCUGCACAUUUAGUCAUUGUGAAUAUAUAAAUGUUCUUGUUCUUGUGCAAUAAUAGCACAUAGUACUGAUUGUGAUGGAUUGAAACUUGUUUAUAUAUUUACUCUUACUGGUACGUGCAUAUUGUACGCAUUACAGAUUUGAAUGUUUUAAAUUCAUAGCGCGCUUGCCAGCAGUUUGAGUUAAAUACAGUAUGUUAAUGACUCAUUUUAUUUAGUAGGUGUAGUAACCAAAUGUGACCAGCAGGGGGAAUCUAAUGCUAGUGAGCUAUUCAAGAGCAAAGAAUCUCUUCCUCUCGAUGUAGCAGAGGAAGGAAAGUGUCCAUGGCUCGUUUAUUGAAUUAAACACCUUUUCAGGUCUGAGUUUACACAUACAACUUAUCUUUACUGAUGUAAUUUGGUUCACUAAAUGCUAGAAAGCUUCUGAACACGUUUUGUUACAGUCUACAUUUACAUACUUUGUUGUUAGUAGAUCAGGUUUAGCCACAACUAGCAAGUAGCUCACAGCAAACGGUGCUGUCCCAUGUCUGAAUGUGGCUUUAUAAUGUGUAUGCUAACUGCAGACAGCCUUUGCACACGAGAUUAUAAAUUCUGCAUAUAUUUUAAUAAAUUAAUUGAUGCCCUAUUGAGCACAAAUAUUUAGGGGUUUUGGAAAUGGAGUUGUACAAAAACAUUGUAGUUAUUGCUGAAUGUUGGUUUAUCUGUUAUUUGUUACUGUCAUAUUUGAGCAUAAUGACUUAUUAGUCUUCGUGGCAUCUUUGUUCUGCAUUAAUGUAAGUCACUCAGGCAAUACAGACUGUAGCGGAGGAAAAACGUGUUCCUGGCUCAAAUAGUCUCCCUUUUCAGGACUUUUACACUUUCAGAUAUUUUGCAAUAUUGAAGCAUCACAAUAUGUCUUGUCAAAGUGAAGGCUGUCUUGGGAGAAACAAUCCAGUUGUCUGUGAUGGUUUAUACUUAGACGUCCAAGUAGGAAUGAACUUAAAAAAUGUUUAAGCAACUGGAAACGCAAUUUUCUCCAGGAGCCAUGUCCUGAUGAGUCAUAAUGCUUGUCUGAUUGAUAAUUUUCAUCAAACUUAGAAACGAUUCUUAACGCCAAUCUAUUUGUGACAUUAGUACGUCAAAAGCUCACAAAUGCGUAUAACUUAUAAACGUGGGUUGUCUUUAAUGUUCACUAGUUAAGUCACCUGAUUACAUGAAAGCGAAAGUUUAAAUUCAGUGCAACCUUGUUGAAAAUAUUGCAAGAAACUAAUAAUGGUUGAUUUGAUGAAAAUCAUGUAAUAAUUUUUUCCUUUUUUGCA